UGAAGGAUUUAACAGGACUGUGACAAAAUUAAAUCAAAAUGUUCUCCAGCUUGCAAGUCAGCACAGUUUUAUUUUUGAUUUCUCUGCCUUCAGACAGCAGCUCGGCCUACGAGCUCCAUGACACUAUCCACACUCUGAAAGAAGAAAACCUCCACCUGCAACACCGACUGGAGAAUCUCGCUCGAGCUCUCAGAGAUUUGAAACAUCUGCUGAUAGAGAACUCUAAAGUUUCUGGGAGGGAACAUGAAACUGAGUUUCUAAAUGCCUGGAAGGAAUGGUCCCAACAUGGCAUAAGUACUGAGACUCACCAGAUGUUGCAGCAGGCUCUCUGUUUAACAGAGCUCCAAGCAGCUGCCCAGCCGAUCUUCAUCACGACAGGCAACCCUCUCCUCUUCCUCUCGUCUCUGGUUUCCAUGAUUCACCUGCUGCUGAUGUGACUCAAAAACAAACAUCCAUCAUCAUAAAGCUUAGAGACAGAUAGAUAGAUUAUUUUAUUUAUGUUCUCUCUUGGUCUAAAUAAUGUGUUUUUUGUCACAGCCUAAUAAUUUAAUUAGUAUGUAUUAAAACAGUUCUUUGCAUCGUUUUGAUCUAUUGAGUGUAGAGUUACAAAGAUUAUUUUCUGGUCUGGUGCUUUUUUAACUUGAUGUCAGACAGUAAUGAUUAUUAAAGUUUUCAAUAUAAAAUGACCCCUCCAUCUAUAAUAUUUACUUUUAGGAAAUCCAAAACAAAUCCAAUACGAUUUUAUGAUAUUAAUUUACAACCUUUUUCAUGAAAACCGUAAGACUAAAAGUCCUUAAACAAACAAACAUUCAUUCUAAUUUGUCAACACUUAAAUCAAAAUGGUUUUUAAUAUGAUGUUAUAUUAAAUGACAUGCAUGCAUCUGCUGAACACUAUACCAGAUGGUGAAAACUAAAAACGGAAGGAUAGAGAUAACAGAGGUGAGAAGACAGAAUUUACCCUCCUUAUGAGUCAUUAAAAGUAAGAGACAUACCGGUUGAUGUAUUUAUAAUAAUCAAUAAGUGUUACUUCUAUACUGCACCUUUUCUCAACAUUAAGAAGAGCCAAUGGGUCUCAGUCGCAAAGAAACCCAUCUGUCUAUUUAUAUGAAACUCUGCUUUCACACAGGGAUGCUGAAUGUCCUUUGGUGGAUUUAUGUGUUUGAUGUUUUCCUGAAUCCAGCAGUGUUACAUUUUGCCGUCUUUGUCUGCUUAAUUAAAAUGACCCUUCCUGCAUAGAUUAUAAAUUGGUGCAUUUGUACUUUAAUUUCCAUUUGAUUAUGCUGAAUGGAUGGCCAAUUUACAUUUGCAAGGACUUCAUCUGGCCCUAGUAGACAUGUGGAGAGACUGCGGUACUUUAGCUGUAGACAUCCAUGUAGAAAAGUGUGAGAAAAGCCACUGCAUAGACACGGCAAACCUCUGUUUAUUAUGUAGGCCUACUUAUCCUAUUUUAACAUGUAAGAGAUCACUUUAUGGUUGAAACAAGCCUAAGAGUCAGCAGACGUGCAUUUCUUAAAGUACUUGAAUACAGAGUUGUUUUCAGUGUUUGUUUGUUUUUGUUUUUAGCUAAAUGCUAAUUUCAGCAUGGCAGCACACUCUGGACAAUUAAAAUGUAGAUGAUGCAAUUGUAGCACGAUAUUUACUGCAUUAGCUGAGGCUGGAUUGUUGGCGUGCGAACAUAUGGUACUUAGCAGUAAUCACAACGUAUAGCCUUCGUUAAUGAGAACAAUAUUUCUUUAACAAGAAAAAAUGAUCAAACCACAUACUCUGAAUGAAAUGUUUAACCUGAUGCUGGAACUUAAUGAGAAGUCAGAGGAGCAUCCAUAGGAUGAACUCAGCAUCUAUAUUAACAAGCUAGUGGACCUUCGGCUAACAUUGUCUUCUUGAGGUCAUGUGGGGUUUGUAAAGAAGAUUAUUUUAUUUAUAGCCUACUUGCAGAGUUUACUCCAACUCUAGGAAAUAAUAGUUUCAAUCCGAGUUACAUUAUUUGAUCAAAAUCACUAGCCUAUUUCUAGCACGUUUAAAUCUUUAGUCAUGCUAAAAGCCACAUCGCUUAAUGAUUGACCUUAAAAGCUCCUCAAAGAUUGACUGAGCGGUUGUGCAGCAGUCAUUAUUAUCCCCCAUUAACCCACAUGUAAGCAGUUCAACCUGCACUUAUCCAUUAAAUUGCUAUAUUCAGCUUAGGUCUACAUCCCUGUAUGCUGGCAUGCUGUAAUCAAUCAUAAAACAUAAUUAUGCAGUGUUGCAGUGAUGUAAUCAAAGUGGUCUGUUAAGCAACCUAAAGAGGGAAAGUUUGGUUUAUGGAUCUAUAACAUCUGCUGCUCAUUACCAUGAAGAACAUAGUGUAACUUUAGAAGAAAAAGGUACAAAUUGUAUUAUCUAAAAGCCAAUAAUUACAUUGAAUUUACAUUUGCACAUUUCGUUGCAGAUGUAUAAAUCAUAGGCUGUGGCACGUUAGAAUAAUUUUUUUGUUUAAAUUAAAAAAGUUUGUGUCCCGGCUGUCUCAAGAAUUCAAGUUGACAGAAUCGAAGAUGAUACGUUAAGACAAAUAUGUAUUCUUUUUUUUUUUUUAAACCUUUCUAGAAAGCCAUAUACCAUUUUUAAUUAAUUUAACAUUUAUUAAGUUCAUCCAUGUUUAAUGCAGGACUCAAACUCUAGAUCCUCUGAGUGUGAGGCACCAGCAGUAGGGGCACCCAGGACUGAGCUCUGCUCCAUGGGGGACAGAGCCUUCUCUUCUGCUGGAAUGCUCUUCCUGAUUACCUGAGAGCCCCACAGACAGUGGACUCCUUUAAAAGGACUUGAAAACCUUCCUUUUUAAAAUAGCUUUUCCCUAAAAAAAAUAAAAAUAAAAUUUCCCGUAAGUCCCUAAAACCACUGCUUUAAGAUCUUUUUGUUAUACUUAGGUUUUAACUCUGCCUGAUUUUACCUGUCUUACUAAUGCAAUUGUUCUUAUGGUUUUUAUUCUAAUUGUAGCACUUUGAGAUUUUAAAUUAGCAUUAUAAAUAUCAUGUAUUAUUAGUAUUAUUAGCAGUAACCACUUCUCUGUAUAGCCACUUUGUAUAAGAAUAAUUAUUUAUAUUUGGGCAAUUGUAUUUUAAAGUAUAUCAUAUUGACAUGUAAGUAAUAAAAAUGUACAUUAGUUAAGAUGA